rnacentral:lncRNA from 1 species
GUGUUGCCAAUGCACCUUCACCAUGGGGAUCCUAUUCUUGUGCAAAAAUUUGUCAGUACAAUCAUGGAUUUUCAUAGGGAGCUCCUCAUAUGUCAUAUCAGCUUGAACCUGCUUCUCUUGGUGAGAAAUGAUGUGAGGAGGGUCAGGGUGGUACCUUUUGUGCAUGGAGACAUGAAAAACAUCGUGUAGACCCAUAAACUCUCAGGGUAGAGCAAGGUGGUACGCCAUGGGUCCAACACAUUCCAC